GAGUUUGAUCGUGGCUCAGAUUGAACGCUGGCGGCAUGCCUUACACAUGCAAGUCGAACGGCAGCAUGAUCUAGCUUGCUAGAUUGAUGGCGAGUGGCGAACGGGUGAGUAAUACAUCGGAACGUGCCCUGUAGUGGGGAGUAACUAGUCGAAAGAUUAGCUAAUACCGCAUACGACCUGAGGGUGGAAAGUAGGGGGACCGGCAAGGCCUCAUAGCUAUAGGAGCGGCCGAUGUCUGAUUAGCUAGUUGGUGGGGU
rnacentral:rRNA from 1 species